AGAAAAAAUUAAUUUUGAUUAGCGAAAACAUUCCUGCAGACUUCGUGUCGUCGACGUCGCGUCAAAUUUAUUAAAAUCACAAACGCAGCGACACACGAGAAAUCGGCGGACGUCGCGCAUUGCGAAUCCAAUUACAAUUUCUGUGUCGCGAAUAUCAGAAGUGCUUAUUCGCUCCGACAUUUCACGGAUCGCCGAUUCAUCGAUCAGUUUCCUCUCCUCUUUCAGCGGGGAAUUCAGUUCAGCGCUCUUAUCAUGCCCUUUUAACGCAACGGCUUAUUAUUAAACGCGAUACUUGGGCAUUAAUGCAUUAUUUAUAUAUAACGAUUUUUAAACAGACUUGACUUGUCAAAGUCCGACUUGGUCUAUAUCGCAAGGGACGCGUUCUAACAUUUUAUCCCGUAAUACUCGUUCAAGUAUCUAACAUUUAUUUCUUUUAUUGGGUCACUGUAGCAGGAGAAAGAGCCAAUAAAGACACAUAUUGACAUAAAUUUUUGUUCCUUGAAUUUUUGUUUCUAUAUCUAACGAAAGAUUUUAUAUCACAGUGUUCUUUUCUUUUUUCUCUGUUUCACAUUUCUCUAUAUCUGUUUCAUGGACUAAAUAAUUAUAUUUCUUUAUCCAAUAACGAAUUACACAAUUAUGAAACCCAAGCGCAUUGAGUAAGAAUCAGUCGUAAAAAUGUCUACCUAAAAAGGGUGUCGAGUGAAGGAGUUUGGCGUGUGAAACGUGUAUUCUCGAUUGCACGUGGCACAGCAUUGAAAAACGCGAGAGAAAUCGUAGUCAGCGCAUUAUGGAUACUUCCGGUCGAGCGAUUCUCUUUUAACGAAUUCCACAUACAAGUGAGUAUCGAGUACAGAGCAAGGUGUCAUAGAGACUCUCUUUCGCGAUGUUUUAGCGGUGUACCACUUAAUUGCAUUUUAAACGAUCGCUUGACAUAAUCCACCGUCAGCCGAAGCCAAUUAACGGAUUAAUACAAAGGAUUCUUUAGUAAAGUAAAAAAAUACGAUUACGUUUUGACGAAAGAUUUUACUAAAGCGACUAAAAAUUUUGCUACAUGUAGAUAUAAAAAUAGCUGUAAAGUUUUGAAUUUUCUAACAAGUUCUUAAAUAAUUAUUUUCAGAGCUACAUUUAGUUCAAUUUUUAAAUACUUUAACUAAACCGUUCUCUUUUUCCAUUUUGUCUUUCAUAUGUAUCAGUACUGUUAACUAUCAUUUUUAAGAAACAUACAAAUAAAUGUGUGUCUACAAGCAAUUUGUGAAACAAUUUUCUUCCCUUUCCCAUUUCUCUCUCUCUCUCUCUCUCUUUCUCUAGGAGGCAUGUCACUAUUGAUCGCACCAUAUGUCGCGUGGUUAACAUCUUAAUCCAAUUAGUAUAUACUAGCGGAGCAACUCGCCCAUAUGCGACAUGCGAAUGAUGGCCUCGCAAUUGAACUACAAUCGGGAAAGUUAGAAAAAGAGAAGAAGGGGGAGGGGAGAGAAAAGGACGCGAUUUCGUCAGAGAGUCCGUAGAAAGCGGCGGGAAUGGCUCAGCUGACAAUGUCCAGCGAGACGAAUGGUCACGCUUCCAGCUUCCGCUUCUCCGCGGUCGUAGUUUCGACGACAGACACGGAUUUCGUUAACAAUGGAAGCGAGUGGCGAUCUCGCCAUCAGGCUACUCAAUCGGCGCGGCUGUUAUAGGGUCAGCUAAUUAUGACUGAUGGGGCUACUGACCGCGCGAUCGAUCGCAUAACGUUCCCUCUUGUUAUGCCGAGGCCCGCGCGCGUGCCGGACCAGGCCAGCCAGAGGCAUGAUUUCACGGCUUCCGCCGCAAUGAAACUGUCUGUUCGUUCACCGCAGUUCCGCCGGCGCGGUGACGGUCAACGAGAUAUCGCGCUACUGCUGUCGCCGAUCUUUCUGCCACAUUUCGCUGGAAACUAUACUGCUGAAACAAUUUUCUCACGGCAUAUCGCCAAGUUUAUCGUCCGAAGAAAACAGUCUUAUUUUAUACCGGUCUAUUAAAUAGAAAUGUCAAAUUGCAGUUUUAUUUUCCACUAAAAUUGCGCGGAAUUCUUGCGGAAAUAAACAUGUAUUGGAUGUAUCUAUUAUUUUACCUAAAAUCUCAAUAAUCAUCGCCGUUCUCCAUCGAUUCAACAUUAAGCAUAUUUGCUCGUACCAAAUCAUUUAUUAUCAGCGAGACGAUAACGCAAUCUUCCAUCAUUGAUAAGCAGUCAACAGUAUAUAGUCAAAAAUUCAUCCGGAUGUAUCAUAUAAGUCAUUUUACAAAGAUAUAUCAUUGUUUAGGUAUAUUUAUACUUAUAAUUGAGUUGGUCAAUAAUUCCGUUGUUUUUUGCCGAUAGAUUGCCUUUAGUUUUUCGCCGAGAAAAACAGAAAGUUCUUUGAAUGUGAAAUUGUGAAGUCCGAAAGAUAAUAAAAAAUAGUGAAGCACAACGACUAAUAUAUUCUUAAAUCUUAUAUAAUUAUUAUAAAAGUUAUUGCUUUCUAAUUAAAAAAAAUGUUUUUAAUUUAUAGAUAAUAACACGGAAUUGUUGGCCAAUCUAAUAAUAUACUUAGUUAAAAUAUAAACAAUAAUAGUACAUGACAGUUUUAAUGAAAACUUUCAUGACAACACAAUUGUAAAAACAUAAAAGACGUCUCGAAGGUAGAAGCUUCAUCCGAUAAAAAUCUCUGAAUAGCUUAUGCAAAAGCUCAUGAACGCGCGCAGAGGAAUGAAAUGUCUUCCUCGAAGAAUGAUCCCGAUAUCAAGAGCUACCCUUUAAAUCUGUUUUCGAUCUGCCGUUUGAAAUCUCAGAAGCAAUCUUGUGACUCAUGGCAGGUGGAGACAUCCGCUGAUAGAAAAUGAUAUACUCACGAAUGUUCUCAGAAGGAUUAUCUCACGGCGUUUUUAACGUACGGCAAAUGUCUCGCGAACAGUUUUAACAGAUUGCAGACUGGCAAUUCUAAGACCGGCUCGGACAAUAAGACGAACACGCGUCCCCCUGGCCUUGUUACCGCUUGCAUCCUUCAGAACGAUUAACAAUGCCGCGAUUAUAAGCACGCGACGCAAGGACGUGUGCGUGACGUGCGUGCGUUAUCAUGCUGCUGAAUUUAUAUUUGUACGUCUUUGAUAACGUGUUGCCUAACCCGUCUUCGUGAUAAGGAUCUCUCUCUCUCUCUCUCUCUAUCUAUCUAUCUAUUAAUCUAUCUAUUUAUCUAUUUAUCUCUCUCUCUCUUCUUUGCGAGGAAGUCGUCCCCGCGAUCCGAGCGAUCGAGGAUAGAGAUUGAGCGCGGGCCGCAUCUAAUUGAAUCAAGUUGAAAAGUAAUAGAUCCAAUUAUAUCGGGCGACUACUUUGUGAUGCGUAUCGUUAUAAAGGGGGGAAAAGAAAUUGAGAGUCUCGUUUGCGCCACGUGUCAAUAAAAAAUAAUUCUCUGAUGGGAUCGCGCUUUGAUAAAUCUUCUCCUCCCCUCAUUGCGCUUCUUUAAAUAAAUAUUUAUCGAUCCCUACGAUAUGGGGAACGCCGCAGAAGUCGUAACGUAAAUGCAAAUCCUAACAGGAUAUCGCCAUUAUAUCGGCCGGUGUACGCAAUGUGCACAACCGUAAAAUUCCCAGGGCAUAAUAACAGUUGUAAAAGUGUUCUCAGAAGGUACGGAGGUUACCGAUACGCGUACCUUAUCGGGGAGAGCUUUAAAGACACGUCAUUACACGCAUCAAUGACGAUUCUUCUCUCUUUCUUUCUCUCUGCUCUACGCCGUUACCAUUGCUCUAAUUUCCACAAUAGGAGAUAGUGGCAUUAGAUUGCAAUUGGAGAGAAUUUUGCCUCGUGAAUGGAAUAUAUCGAAUGAUGUCGCAGUGAAAAUCGCCAUCCUAGUGAAAAUUGCAGGAAGAGAUUGCAGGAAACAAUUUUCGGUUUUCCAAAAGUAUUUAAAACUUUAGCUGGACAACACAAUUACUGAAAGUAAUUUUUAUCAGAGUAUGCAGAACACUCGAUCUAGUUGCUGGAAUGUCGAAAUUUUAUGCCAACAAAAUGAUUUUUUAAUCUGUGUUUAUAUGUAGUAAAAUUUUUUAAUAUUUUAUAAAAUAAAAAUGUUCUUUUCGUGGAAAUUUUAGUCUGUCGAAUUUAUUGGAAUAUGCUGCGUAUUAAAAAUACAGAUGUUUAAACGGUUUGAAAGUGUUUUAUAAAAAUGUAGAUUCCACUUGCAAUCAGUCCUCAGCAAUUGUCAAUGCAAUUGUCGACGGCAUUCAGUCCGAGAAGCACUUACACAGUUGACAACGUCCAAUAAGCAUAAGGCGGCCAUGCGACGGCAAUCGUUCCUUUAACCGUUCGAGCCAAAUAGAGAUCGCCUACGAAAACUUCUCGUCGAGAUCUACCUCGGUCGCAUGAAAGUGAGGGACGGCGCGAGGAAGAAGAGAAAAAGGCGCAAACUAGUUCAACGAACCUGUUAAAGUCCGUCGUGGAAAACGUGACUCACCGUGCGUGUAAGCGCGCGCGAGGUGCAAUGCCGCAUAAUUCUGUUUUGUAAAUUUAUUAAGCAGCAGCGAUCGGAACGCGUGUGUUGCAUCGGGAAUUCCAAUCGUCGCCGGCAUCAGACAAUUUCAUCAUGUGACAGCGCGCGAAACCUACGCCUUCGAAUCGCAUUAGGACUGUUAUACUUUCAACCAUUUCGAAUAUUUAGAGUCUCGAAGAAUUCUGAAACUUCAAGACUUUAAAUUUUCGAACCUUCGAAAUUAACUUUGAACUUCGAAUACUCG